rnacentral:rRNA from 1 species
AUUGAACGCUGGCGGCAGGCCUAACACAUGCAAGUCGAACGAGUGGCGGACGGGUGAGUAAUGUCUGGGAAACUGCCCGAUGGAGGGGGAUAACUACUGGAAACGGUAGCUAAUACCGCAUACCAUCGGAUGUGCCCAGAUGGGAUUAGCUAGUAGGUGGGGUAACGGCUCACCUAGGCGACGAUCCCUAGCCGGUCUGAGAGGAUGACCAGCCACACGGGAACUGAGACGCGGUCCGGACUCCUACGGGAGGCAGCAUUGGGGAAUAUUGCACAAUGGGCGCAAGCCGGAGGCAGCCAUGCCGCGUGUAUGAAGAAGGCCUUCGGGUUGUAAAGUACUUUCAGCGGGGAGGCGUUACCCGCAGAAGAAGCACCGGCUAACUCCGUGCCAGCAGCCGCGGUAAUUC